CUAAUCAGUUGUUGUAUUCGACUGUAUUCACGGUGUGAAAUAGGGGAUUACAUUGUUUUUAAAACGGAAAGUGAAUCAAUUAACAUAAUAGACUCCU
rfam:Nicotiana attenuata strain TT chromosome 1, whole genome shotgun sequence.